rnacentral:rRNA from 1 species
UGGGGAAUAUUGCACAAUGGGCGCAAGCCUGAUGCAGCCAUGCCGCGUGUGUGAAGAAGGCCUUCGGGUUGUAAAGCACUUUCAGCGGGGAGGAAGGCGAUAAGGUUAAUAACCUCAUCGAUUGACGUUACCCGCAGAAGAAGCACCGGCUAACUCCGUGCCAGCAGCCGCGGUAAUACGGAGGGUGCAAGCGUUAAUCGGAAUUACUGGGCGUAAAGCGCACGCAGGCGGUCUGUCAAGUCGGAUGUGAAAUCCCCGGGCUCAACCUGGGAACUGCAUUCGAAACUGGCAGGCUGGAGACUUGUAGAGGGGGGUAGAAUUCCAGGUGUAGCGGUGAAAUGCGUAGAGAUCUGGAGGAAUACCGGUGGCGAAGGCGGCCCCCUGGACAAAGACUGACGCUCAGGUGCGAAAGCGUGGGGAGCAAACAGG